GAAAUACGCGAGGGACGGGACUCUCAGGCGCUUGCGGCCGGCUUUCCUGCGAGUCCCCGCCCCCGGAGCCGUGCGCCCCUGGACGCUGGCAACUGUGCAUCUUCCCUCUGGAGGCUGCGGUUCAGCGGGUGCUGGGGGUGUGCUGGUCCAGGUCAGGGCAGGGCCUUGUGGCUGUGGACACGUGGACAGGCUAAAGGCCAAGUCUCUCAGCCUGGACGAUCUGCAGCAGGGGUCAGCGCACACAGCAGGCUGACUCUGGGAAGGGCCUGGGCCCUAGACACUCCCCAGGAAGCAGACCAGGGAAGGUGUGUUGGCAAGUUCAGUCCACGGCUGCCGCCAGCGCCAGCUGGUAGUACCCGGCUGCAUCGAAUGGGUCCUGAGGGGAGAUGUUGCGGUCAACCCAGAUUCCUCAUCUAACUCAACCUGUGGCAGGGCAUGAGGGGCACAGAGCCCAUGUCCCCAGAGGUCCCUCCUGUCCCUGGUCGCUCCAUUGUCUACACCCCACUCUGGUUCACCCCUUGAGCCCUGUAUCCUGGGACACUGCCGCAGCUUAGCCAGCAGGAUGGCCGUGUGCCCAGGCAUUCCAGCUGCACUUCCUGGGAGCUGUGCCAAGGAGGUGCCACAUGGGUCCAGGGCUGGCUCUACCAGGUUCCAUGAGACCCAGAGGGCCAGGUGGGCCUGGAAUCAGGGCGUUUCAGGCAGCCCCCUGGGUCUCCCCAUGUUCUGGACCCCCGUAGAGGCUCCCUUCCUGCCCUGACUCCACCUGGAAGCCUCCCCAGCUGUCCCUCUAUCCAGGGCCACCCAGCCUCUGCCAGCCCCUCACCGUGGGCACUGGCUGCUUGCCCCUGGCCAUGGUUCUGUUGGGUGAGCAUGUGAGUAACCCAGCCUCGCUCCAGCCUUGUCUACCCUGAUGCCACCAUUUCUGGGCCCUUCCACCGGCCAGCCCUGGCACAAAGCACCUCACAGGCAUCAAAUCUGGAAAUCUUUGCUGAAACUUAGAUGGUUUGUGACUCCCCCGGACAUCCACUCCCAUCUCAAAUGCAUCUUUGCCUCAAACCCACCAACCCCAGGUCAGGACCCCCCCCCUCCUACCUUCCACCCGACCAGGCCCCUCCUCCACACCAAGGUCACCGAGGGACCCCCUAGGCCCCAUACCUGGCCCCUGCCCUCCCUUCCCUCUUUACCAUCUCAAGAGGACUCCCCAGGGCCAAGGACGAAGUCCAAGAUUCACCAACCCUUCUACUCCCCUAAACGGAGCAAGGGCCCAAGAAGAGAAAAACCCGUUGUGCAGCAGCACGGUGAAUGCUCCCCCGGACCCUGCUGAGCGCUCCCCCGGACCCUGCUGAGCAUCAGACUGUGCCAAGGCUCGUGGCUGAUCCUGCUGUACCCUUGCUCCCAGUCCUGGGGGUCCGGGGUGGAUAGUGACUAUACAGGGUGGCCUGUGGGAGCCCUGGGAGGCACCCGCCUCAGCCUGGGGUGGUAUGGGAGGGCUUCCUGGAGGAGGGGGCAUCCCAACUAAACAGGAAGGAGCCAGCCAAAGUGUGCUCUGCUGUGUGUGCGUAUGCCUCUGUGUGCGCAGGUAUGCAACAGCGAGUGAGUGGCGGGCCCAGCUGGGGCUCACCCCAAACCCGUCCUACUCCAAGCCUCACUCUUUCCAUUCUGACACAUACGUGUGGACUGAUGGUGGCCCCAUUUUAUUAAUAGUGACAGUCAGCAAAGAAACCCAUGGCACCUGCCUUCUGGUUGGCAUUCCAGGCCCAGUCUGGGAUGGGAAGGAGAGAGAUGAGAAGCCAUAAGAGGGUCUGCUCACUCAGGACACGAGGAGGGUGUGAAGUUGGAAAGAUAAUGGGCCCCGCCCAACACAGACUGAGGUGGCAGCGCAGUGCGCCCUGGGGAGUAAGGAGUGAGCUCUCUGCCCUUUGAGCCCAGCCUCACUCAGCCCCUGGACCCUGGCCUCUCAGCAGCGCCUCAGCCCUUUCCUUCCUCCCAGGUAGAUGGGUGGCGGGUGUGACCACGGGGAGAUAAAGGUCCCUUCUCCCAGGCCCUGUCCCCAGCAGGUGCUCAGCACGCCACUCCCCACAGGGCUGGAGCAUAUGGAAAAGAAGCCCCAUCUGGUGUCCCUUGAGACAGACUUGAGGGGGUCCUCCCUCUGCAGCCUGAGUGGGACGGUAACAGACCUGCUCCGCCCACCUGGGUAAAGUGAAGGUUGAAAGGUCUCAGAAUUCCCGGAAAGAGCUGCUCAGCACAGGCCUGUGUCCUGGGCUGGCUCCCUGGAGGAGGUGCCAGGAUUUGGGCUGGAUCUUACAACAUGGGUCUAAGGUGGGGAUAAUGCUGAUCCCCUCAAAUGUCCUCCCCGGCCCCCACUUUUGUUAAAUCCUACUUGACUGUCAAGACUCUGCUUUGGUGUCUCUUCCUCUGGGAGGCCUCCGUGACUAUCCCUCUUCACCCACGGCUGCCAUCGUCCAUUUACCUGUCAGCCUCUCCUGACCAACCCUGAGUUCCUGAGGGUGGGGCCUGGGCAGCAUGGGAACCCUGACACUGUCGGCUGGCCUCUGGGGGGCUAGUGGCCAUUACUAAGGAAGGCUUAACCCAGGCCUUUGGGGUCUGGGUGCAGAUCCCACUCCAAGUGUCCCCUGCCCCCUUCCCAC